rnacentral:rRNA from 1 species
UACAGAGGGUGCAAGCGUUGCUCGGAAUUAUUGGGCGUAAAGGGUAGGUAGGUGGUCUCAUUUGUCCGUGGUGAAAGCCUUGAGCUUAACUCAAGAAGUGCCGCGGAAACGGUGAGACUAGAGUACUGGAGAGGGUCGUGGAAUUCCCGGUGUAGCGGUGAAAUGCGUAGAGAUCGGGAGGAACACCAGAGGCGAAGGCGGCGACCUGGACAGUAACUGACGCUAAACUACGAAAGCGUGGGGAGCAAACAGG